rnacentral:rRNA from 1 species
UACGAAGGGGGCUAGCGUUGCUCGGAUUGACUGGGCGUAAAGGGCGCGUAGGCGGUUCGUACAGUCAGACGUGAAAUUCCUGGGCUCAACCUGGGGGCUGCGUUUGAUACGUGCGGACUUGAGUGCGGAAGAGGGUCGUGGAAUUCCCAGUGUAGAGGUGAAAUUCGUAGAUAUUGGGAAGAACACCGGUGGCGAAGGCGGCAUUCUGGACUGUAACUGACACUGAGGAACGAAAGCCAGGGGAGCAAACGGG